rnacentral:lncRNA from 1 species
GCUCUGAUUUUCUCCAGCCAAGGAAGACUACAAACCAUCUUUUUAACAAGGUGUUUGCAGGCAAUAGAUGAAAAUGUAGGGCAUGGUUAGCCCUUGGAAUUGCCUCAGCACAAGGAGACAGUUGAAUAGAGUGGUUAGUAGAGUGUACUUGUGAUAUAUGAAAUAUAUGGACAUUUGGAACUUGGUGGGAGUGCUGUAGUCAUCAUGUGUUAAUAGAGUAAGAUAAGCUCUGCUAGGAGAACAAAUACCCUCAACAUUUCAAUAGAUUCAUGUAACAAUUCUUAUAUUUCAUUUAUGCCAUAUGUCCAGCAUAGGGGCUUGCUUUGUUGUAGCUUUACCAUCUGAAAUGUGUGACUAGCUAUUGUCACUGGUCAGGUUAAAUUGACACUCAUAACUUUCACUUACAAUGUGUUGACCAGAAGGAGCUCCAAGGUCCUGAUAUAGUCAUAGAGAAAGCUAGAAAAUAUAGUCUUCUUUUGUCCCUAGGAAGAAAAAAAUCAAAUUGAACUUGGUGAACACACAUCCCUGUCUUCUACAAAUGAGAUGAUAAUGAGGUAUUGAAGUAACCUGAAGGGGCAAGAAACUUUCAAACAGAUAUGUCACAUACUUUGAUGAUGAAGAAAUAGAAUAACUUUGCUGCCAACACCCCAUCUGUUUGUCAAGACAUCAAGAUAAAACAGCACACAGAAAAGAGUAGCCCUAUACAUUAAUGUCUCCCAACAAUAUUUGUUGAAGGAAUUUAUGAUAGUAAUUGUAGCUUCUGGUUAAGGGGAAGAAUGCUUAAUAAUUUCAAAGUCACUGUAUUUCGCUACUUUCCAUUCAGUGGCUCUAGUUGUUUCUCUAAGAAUGUGAUGCUCAAACCAUCUGCAAAUGAGCCAUUUCAUUUUGAAAAUUCAGGGAGCCUCAAAAGAAUUGAAGACAUUUAGAACACAGCAGAGCAUGUAACACGGUCAUUAGAAGGCAUCUCUUGAUCCAUUUAUCUGAAGAAUUAAAUAGGGAAUUCAAAUUGAACCUGCCACAGCUCGAAUGAAGGAAGAGACAAAUGCUAGUGUGGAUAUCAUGAAGUCUGAUUCUCUCUGUGCAUCUGUGUUCUCUAUGAUUUGGAUUCUGUUUGUAUUAAAAUUUUGAAUUUUUGUAUGACUUUUGUAAUGUGUACAGUAUCAUUUGAUUAUAUAAGAAAAAGCUCUCUUUGGGUUGGUAAAGAUCAGUAUUCAGAAAUCUUGAUAUAUACUAGAAAGUUAUAGUGUCAAUCAAAGAAGAUAUUUGUUAGUGUAGAGAGCAGACAACUGACACAUUCAAUAUUCCUGUUUUUCCCCUAGACAUUUUGAACCUUUAAAAAUAUUUAAAUGGCAAAAGCAACCUUUGAAAGUUUCUAGUGGAAAGAAAACAGAAAGAUUCCAAAUAAACUCUGAAUUCAGAUAAUGAACUAUCUUUACCUUACUGGAGGUGAUAAGUAUUUUAAAUAUUCCAUUGCUUUAUUUAAAAUAAAAUAAAAUAAAGUCUGAUAUUCAUUUAUUUAUUUUUAUUUAAAAAUCAAAUUAUGUCUAACUACUUAUUAAUUUCUUUUAUCCUCUCAUAAGCUGUAUCACAUGCUUAAAAUUAAUUUAUUCAGUAAUAUGCUCCUAAACACCUUGGGUAAGUAGUUCUGAACCAGAAUGUAACAUUGUCAUUUAAAAAAUUGCACAUAUCUGAGGUCUAUCCCAGACAACUAAACCUCUAGAAAUAAUUUAGUUAUGUGCUCUUGUAAAGGAAAAUUACCUUAAGUAUCUUUAAAACUUUUGAAAAUGAUUAAUGAAAAAUCAAUGAUGAUAUAUUAUGAAUAUGGAAUAAAAAGUAUAAACAAG